AUAGAUUAAAUUAAAAUAUAGAUGGAUCACUCUGACAAGUGGCGCCACCUAUUGUUAUGGUACACUAAUCACAAAAAUUAUUCUAAAUUUGAUCGUUAGGUGUCACUGCAUUUUGAGCUUUCGAUCGUUAUCACUCGUGAAUGACCGUGAUCUCCGCCGAAUAUUCAAACGACUGAUCAAAGAGAUCUAUAGACCGACAGAUGUAUUUUUGAUUAUCUAUCAAUUUACGAAUUGACAUAAUUUUCUAAUAAAUUAUUCAAUAGACGAAGCGAAAUGUCUGCAAGAGUGAAGUCGUGCUGUGUUUAUGGGUGCAAAAAUCGUGAUGCAAGAAGUUCAUAGGAUGUUCGCUACUUCCCCAAAGUACAAUUAAACAUCGCCCUACAAUACUCUGGAGGAGGCAGGGUUUUCUCACUGAGGUUUCUUCUCUGAGAUCUUGUAUCAUACGCCGAAUUGUAUAGUACCUCAUUACAUCAACCUCUACUGAAACUUUUUCAUGUCAUACAUAUGCUUUAUUGUUUGAUAUUCAAAAAUGUGUUGCUGAUAUUCAACAGAAUAUGUGUAUAUUAUGUAUAAAUAUUGAAUUGUUUUUGUGAUUAGGAAUUAUGGUACUUUAUGAGAAAUGUUUUUGUAUAAUGAAUAAGUUUUGUAAUUAGAAUAAAGUGAAUUUAAAAG